GCUGACACGGGGCAGGGUGUGGCUGAACGUGACCAUGUUCUCCUUGCCCAUGGGGCUGCGUGGGGCCAGC
ensembl:miRNA